ACUUAUAGUGAAGACAUGGAAUAUUCACCAAACUCCAGAGAGAUGACUCAUCUUGACCCUUGGAACUCAUCGAAGUUUUCCCAAUAACACAUGAAGGUGUGUUCCACAACCCAGGAAUCUUCUUGUUCCUCAUCUCGAUCACCAGCUCUUAUUCCUUCUGGGACACCUACCCAAACCUAUUCGACUAUCCUUCAGCAUCUGGUCCUGCAUUGGUCCAAGCCAUUGGACCUCUGCUUGGAGGCUACCAUCUGGGGAGCUAAGACAAAAGCUCUCUGAAGACUGUCAGUUCCUCUUUGAAAAAGCCGCCUGGAAGUUCACACUGAGGUAAGACAAGGCCCACAGCCUGAAGACCUUCCGACUUACCUGGGACUUUGGCACCUGACUUUUUCUGCAGUGUUUAUGUUAUACAAAUAUCAUGUAACCUAGAGAUUUGGUUUCGCUUUGGUGUAACUAUAAAAAUCCUGGCCUUCUAAGUAAAAUUGAAGCUUUGAUUGGAC